GUGGGGAAUAUUGCACAAUGGGGGAAACCCUGAUGCAGCGACGCCGCGUGAGUGAAGAAGUAUUUCGGUAUGUAAAGCUCUAUCAGCAGGGAAGAAAACAGACGGUACCUGACUAAGAAGCCCCGGCUAACUACGUGCCAGCAGCCGCGGUAAUACGUAGGGGGCAAGCGUUAUCCGGAAUUACUGGGUGUAAAGGGUGCGUAGGUGGCAUGGUAAGUCAGAAGUGAAAGCCCGGGGCUUAACCCCGGGACUGCUUUUGAAACUGUCAUGCUGGAGUGCAGGAGAGGUAAGCGGAAUUCCUAGUGUAGCGGUGAAAUGCGUAGAUAUUAGGAGGAACACCAGUGGCGAAGGCGGCUUACUGGACUGUCACUGACACUGAUGCACGAAAGCGUGGGGAGCAAACAGGAUUAGAUACCCUAGUAGUCC
rnacentral:rRNA from 1 species